rnacentral:rRNA from 1 species
CGCGGCCUAUCAGCUUGUUGGUGAGGUAACGGCUCACCAAGGCGACGACGGGUAGCCGGCCUGAGAGGGUGACCGGCCACACUGGGACUGAGACACGGCCCAGACUCCUACGGGAGGCAGCAGUGGGGAAUAUUGCACAAUGGGCGCAAGCCUGAUGCAGCGACGCCGCGUGAGGGAUGACGGCCUUCGGGUUGUAAACCUCUGUUAGCAGGGAAGAAGAGAGAUUGACGGUACCUGCAGAGAAAGCGCCGGCUAACUACGUGCCAGCAGCCGCGGUAAUACGUAGGGCGCGAGCGUUGUCCGGAAUUAUUGGGCGUAAAGAGCUUGUAGGCGGUUUGUCGCGUCUGCUGUGGAAGGCCGGAGCUUAACUCCGUGUAUUGCAGUGGGUACGGGCAGACUAGAGUGCAGUAGGGGAGACUGGAAUUCCUGGUGUAGCGGUGGAAUGCGCAGAUAUCAGGAGGAACACCGAUGGCGAAGGCAGGUCUCUGGGCUGUAACUGACGCUGAGAAGCGAAAGCAUGGGGAGCGAACAGGAUUAGAUACCCUGGUAGUCCAUGCCGUAAACGUUGGGCACUAGGUGUGGGGGACAUUCCACGUUUUCCGCGCCGUAGCUAACGCAUUAAGUGCCCCGCCUGGGGAGUACGG